UGCAAAACUGCAAUGUGUUGAACUGUUCCUCUAUUUUGAGUAUGACUUCACUUUAAGUGCUGCGGCAUAUGGGCUGGGCCCUGUGCAUGUGAGUUAGGUUUGAGCAGGUUGGCUGUUGAAAGAUUCAGCUUUCAGCAACAGCACAGAACUGUGUGAAAAAAAACCUGUGUCACUCUAACGACACCUCAACACCUUUUCGCCCCGUGCUUUUCCGCCAUAAUUCAGACGGGGCUUUGUUAAAGCGUUGUGAGCCAUAAGUAUAACAAGUCCAUUUACCACACUGGAGCACCGAAAACAGAACUGUGACUAAUAAGCCAGGGGUAGAGCAUGCAGGGAGCGGGUGUUCAAAGUUUUAUAAGAUUAGACCACAAAUUCUCUGUGGAGAGUCGUCUAAUAAGAAGCUUAUGAUGGGCCAACAGUCUCCCAGGGGUCCAACCACGUUAAUGAUACAGCUCUCUGUCUCUUACCCUCUCUCCCCUUUUUCUCUUUUAUGGUGGAUCAGGAGUCGUGGUGCAGUGCUGCUUGAGUUUUAAUGUCAAGGGUUGCCACUUAGCCCGGAGGAAGAAAAGCACAUGUGACACUGGAUCCUGGCAGGGCUAAUGGUCAUUACUUGUGAAGAGCAGUCGACCCCCUCCUCCCUCCCUCCGCCACCCUCAGACCUGGUGCUGGAGGUUCAGAAACCCACUUCCUGGUACUUCGUCUCAAGGCUCUCAGUUGGCAGGCAGCUUCUCCAGAGAUGUUGGUGGUGGUGGUGAGUGGUGGGAAAGGGAGUAAAAGGAACAAGACAAGAAUCUAACAGGCCCAGGUUCACUGGAAUAAAGCAACAGAUGUUGGUGGUGGUGGUGGUGGUGGUGAGGGUGAGUGGUGGGGAAGGGAGUAAAAGGAACAAGACAAGAAUCUAACAGGCCCAGGUUCACUGGAAUAAAGCAACAAGGAGGGCCUCCACGGGUCAGCUGUGACGGGUCAGCACCCACCAUUGUAUGGAGGGAAGGGAGUUCCUGUUCCGGCUCGUUUUUUUGCAAUCUGAGAGAAUAUAAACACGGAGAGACGGAAGUGUCCAGACAGCGAGCAAAAGCAGAAGCAGUGGAGAUGUUGAGUGGAGUGUAUGAAGGGGAAGCUACAGUAUGUUGUUUCUGAAAUCCAAUACCACUCUGCUUGUAUUAAAGGUAAAACAGAGAUCAUUAUCUAUUCAUGUUAUGAUUAUUUAUUCAUGUAACAAAAAAAUAUUGAAAAUUGACCACAUAUGCUAUAUAUUUUUAAAGUCAUAUCAGCCCUAACAAUCUAUGACCAAAAUUGUUCAUCCCAUACUUACCUGGAAUAUCCUCGGACACGUAUCGAUCAAGCUUACUUGUAACCUCAGGAUCACUGAUCAAGUGAUAACCUCAGUAAAUCAGUUUUUUUAUUCUUGGAAACGUAGCAGUUUACCCCACCACACCCCCAAUCAAUAUUUCUGCUGAAACCAGGAGUAUUGUGUCUUUUUUGCGUAACCAAACCUGCUCAAUCAAGAGUUUGAUCAUCCCCCAGGUCAAUACCCCUGACUUACCCUCUUGUGCAGUUCACCAAUCAACUUCCACCACAGUGAAACUCCCUUUACUUCUGCAUGCAUGCACAGAGAAACACAGCCAGAGGGUUUCUUUCAUUCCCAGUUUCCUCCUUGUAUGAUUCUACCUUUUAAACAUUUGUAAACAUAUUUAGUCCGUUUAUAUAAAGCAGAGGUUUGGUUUGACAGUGAAGCAGUGUGUUACCGUGGAGUCUGUUAAUUAGAGGGCUACAAAUUGAGCCUGUAUUUGUUCACAUUUUGGCAAAUUGGCACCAUUGUAAACAUGCCAAAUUAGUUAUUAACUGUUCUUGUUUGCAACGUAACCAUGGAUGUAUGGACAACUAUCACUGGAUUACUUUUAUACUGAAGAAAACUUAUAAAUUAGAUUAUUCUCGGGCAAGUUCUCAAGUUAUAAAGGAGCAUCUGUUUUCCAUGAUUUCUAAGUGGAUUUAUGAUGUGUGACACUUUAUUCCCUGAAGGCUUAUAUACACACACACUAAUAUUAAAGUAGCCAGCCUCUUCAAAUGAAGUCAUCUGAAUAGUUUGAAGUUGGAAUAUUAAGUAUCCUGAUCUAAUUCAUACAAUAGGAGUUAUCUUUAAUGUGCAGACAUGAUUUUAACCUAAAUAUAUAACAGAUUUUGUACCAUCAUGCAUGUGUAUUGUGUGUAUCACUGCAUAAAGGUGCAGGAGCAUCUAAUAACCAACGUACACAACUCAUAACACCGUUUAACUUUUCAAAAAAUAUGGGGUUUAUUGACUUAACUGCAAUCAAUACUUACAAAAAGAGGGGGCAAGAAACAGGUUUUUUUCAUAUAAACUCACAGAAAAAAUUACUGUAGUGAAAAAAAACAUGGCUGAAAAAAAUACAUUCAACUGUUUUUACUUUCUUUGUGUCAAAAUCUGUUCACCUCUUCCAAAAACACGUGAAGGCAACACAGAACAAGUGACUUUAAAACAAAACAAAAAAAUAAUAAUUAACUGUCCUCCAUUAUCAAAUAUAAAAAGGCAGAGACGCCUUAGCUACCUGGAAUGUAUUCGAUGAGGCACUUCCAAUGGUCGAGAGAGGGGUGUGUGGCGGCGGGGGGGCAAGCAAGUGCAUCAAGCAUCCAAUCAAUUUAAAAAAAGAAAAGAAACUUUCCUCAACCCAUUUGGUCACAGCUAUUGCUUGUAAUAACAGACUGGGUGUAAGAACGUUACUGACAGAAGACCCCCCCUUUCGUCAUCAACAUUGUCUUCUAACUUGGGAGACCCUCCUGAAACCGGUGAUGUGAGAAGGGUCUUUUAGCACAGGGUUGAAUUAAUGUAAUAACAGUUAGCUACUGUUACUGUCAGGAUUAUUGUGAUGUGAAGAAGAGAGAGCGAGGGGGGAGGGAAAAAAACCCAUCAGGAAUGAAUACAAGCAAAUCUAGUUUAGAUGGAAUUGCAGUCCAAUAAGAGGGAGUAAGAAAAAAAUAAAGUACAAUAAAUAAUCAAAACGCAAAACGUCUUUUUUGCAUUUUUUUUUUUGCUUUAAAUUAAGUUUCAUUUUGACAAAGUGUAGUUGCAGAACAAAAAGUCAUUGAAGUACAAUAUAUUAACUGUGAAAAAAAAGGAAAACUGACAAAAACGUCUUCACAAUCUUUAGAUUAAUAUGGAAGAUCAUAAUUUAACAUAAAAGAAAAUAUAUUCUAUUGUUCAUUAUCCAGAUAAAUACAAAACAAAAUUAACAAAAAAAUGCAUAUGAUCACCAAUAAAUAUGUUCUGAUAAGUUAAAUAAGCAGUGACAAGCAAACCUUCUGUCUGCAAAGUUUUUUCAAACAAUAAUAAACCGUAAUAAUAACAUUAAUAAAAAAUAAUUAUCAAAUAAAGAAAGCAAAAAAAAAAAAA